rnacentral:tRNA from 1 species
GCGCCCAUAGCUCAAUUGGAUAGAGCGUCAGACUACGGAUCUGGAGGUUAAAGGUUCAACUCCUUUUGGGCGCACCA